rnacentral:lncRNA from 1 species
GGGGUGAACCGUGAGCUUAUGAAUUUGAGCUAUUUUGUAAUAUUCAAUCUUCUGCUUGACAGUAGGCAAAUUUGAGCCUCCUUUUAUAUGCUUAAAUCAAGGCUGGCUUUAGUUUGCUUUCGGUGGGUGACUCUUGGGCUACUGAUUUUGAGCUCCUUUUUCAUGUUCAAUCUUCUGCUUGAAAAAGGUGAAUCUGUGCCUCCUUUUAUACAUAAAUAAAGGUUGGGUUUAUUUUGACAUUCUGUGAAUGUUGUUUGUUUGUGAAAGAUAGGCUUUGGUGAACUUUGGUGAAAGGCCACUUGUGAGCUUCUAAUAUUGAGCUCUUUUCCAAUGUUCAAUCUUCUGCUUGAAAAGGGCGAAUAUGGGCCUCAUUUUAUAUGCUUAAAUCAAGGUCGGCUUUAGUUUUACAUUCGGUGAAUGUUGUUGGCAUGUGAAUAAAGUUUUGUAUAAUUUUAAUACUCGUUUCUCAUGUUGGCAACAGCCUUUAUACCAAUAUAUCUGCUUCCUUUCUUGUGUGUGUGAGUGGCUGUCUGGCGAGGUUUUGGUGGGUGACUCGUGAGCUUCUGAUUUUGAGCUCUUUUGUGAUCUUCAAUCUCCUGCUUGAAAAAGGCGAAUCUGAGCCUCCUUUUAUAUGCUUAAACCAAAGCUGGCUUGAGUUUACUUUGGAUGGGUGACUCGUGAGCUUCUGAUUUUGAGCUCUUUUGUGAUCUUCAAUCUCCUGCUUGAAAAAGGCGAAUCUGAGCCUCCUUUUAUAUGCUUAAAUCGGGGCUGGCUUUAGUUUGCUUUCGGUGGGUGACUCGUGAGCUUCUGAUUUUGAGCUCUUUUGUGAUCUUCAAUCUCCUGCUUGAAAAAGGCGAAUCUGAGCCUCCUUUUAUACAUAAAUAAAGGUUGGGUUUAUUUUGACAUUCUGUAAAUGUUGUUCGUACGUAAAAGGUCGGCUUUGGUGAAAGGCCACUUGUGAGCUUCUAAUAUUGAGCUCUUUUCAAAUGUUCAAUCUUUUGAUUGAACAAGGCGAAUAUGAGGCGCAUUUUAUAUGCUUAAAUCAAGGUCGGCUUUAGUUUUACAUUCGGUGAAUGUUGUUGCCAUGUGAAUAAAGUUUUGCAUAAUUUUAAUACUUGUUUCUCAUGUUGGCAACAGCCCUUAUAGCAAUAUAUCUGCUUUCUUUCUUGUGUAUGAGUGGCUGUCUGGCGAAUUUUUGGUGGGUGACCCGUGAGCUUCUGAUUGUGAGGUCUUUUGGGAUACUCAAUCUUCUGCUUGAAAAAGGCGAAUGGGAGCCUCCUUUUAUAUGCUUAAAUCAAGGUUGGCUUUAGAUUGCUUUGGGGGUGACCCGUGAGCCUUUGAAUUUGAGCUAUUUUGUGAUAUUCAAUCUUCUGCUUGAGAGUAGGCAAAUUUGAGCCUCCUUUUAUAUGCUNNNNNNNNNNNNNNNNNNNNNNNNNNNNNNNNNNNNNNNNNNNNNNNNNNNNNNNNNNNNNNNNNNNNNNNNNNNNNNNNNNNNNNNNNNNNNNNNNNNNUAUCCUUUUAUACGUAAAUAAAGGUUGGGUUUAUUUUUACAUUCUGUGAANNNNNNNNNNNNNNNNNNNNNNNNNNNNNNNNNNNNNNNNNNNNNNNNNNNNNNNNNNNNNNNNNNNNNNNNNNNNNNNNNNNNNNNNNNNNNNNNNNNNNNNNNNNNNNNNNNNNNNNNNNNNNNNNNNNNNNNNNNNNNNNNNNNNGUCGGCUUUAGUUUUACAUUCGGUGAAUGUUGUUGGCAUGUGAAUAAAGUUUUGCAUAAUUUUAAUACUUGUUUCUCAUGUUGGCAGCAGCCCAUAUAUCUGCUUUCUUUCUUGUGUGUGAGUGGCUGUCUGGCGAGGUUUUGGUGGGUGACCCGUGAGCUUCUGAUUGUGAGCUCUUUUGGGAUAUUCAAUCUUCUACUUGAAAAAGCGGAAUGUGAGCCUCUUUUUAUAUGCUUAAAUCAAGGUUGGCUUUAGAUUGCUUUGGGGGGUGAACCGUGAGCUUACGAAUUUGAGCUAUUUUGUGAUAUUCAAUCUUCUACUUGAAAAAGCGGAAUGUGAGCCUCUUUUUAUAUGCUUAAAUCAAGGUUGGCUUUAGAUGGCUUUGGGGGGUGAACCGUGAGCUUACGAAUUUGAGCUAUUUUGUGAUAUUCAAUCUUCUACUUGAAAAAGCGGAAUGUGAGCCUCUUUUUAUAUGCUUAAAUCAAGGUUGGCUUUAGAUGGCUUUGGGGGGUGAACCGUGAGCUUACGAAUUUGAGCUAUUUUGUGAUAUUCAAUCUUCUACUUGAAAAAGCGGAAUGUGAGCCUCUUUUUAUAUGCUUAAAUCAAGGUUGGCUUUAGAUGGCUUUGGGGGGUGAACCGUGAGCUUACGAAUUUGAGCUAUUUUGUGAUAUUCAAUCUUCUACUUGAAAAAGCGGAAUGUGAGCCUCUUUUUAUAUGCUUAAAUCAAGGUUGGCUUUAGAUGGCUUUGGGGGGUGAACCGUGAGCUUACGAAUUUGAGCUAUUUUGUGAUAUUCAAUCUUCUACUUGAAAAAGCGGAAUGUGAGCCUCUUUUUAUAUGCUUAAAUCAAGGUUGGCUUUAGAUUGCUUUGGGUGGUGAACCGUGAGCUUAUGAAUUUGAGCUAUUUUGUGAUAUUCAAUCUUCUGCUUGAGAGUAGGCAAAUUUGAGCCUCCUUUUAUAUGCUUAAAUCAAAGCUGGCUUGAGUUUACUUUGGUGGGUGACCCGUGAGCUUCCGAUUUUGAGCUCUUUUGGGAUAUUCAAUCUUCUGCUUGAAAAAGGCGAAUGUGAGCCUCCUUUUAUAUGCUUAAAUCAAGGCUGGCUUUAGUUUGCUUUCGGUGGGUGGCUCUUGGGCUACUGAUUUUGAGCUCCUUCUUCACUGCUUGAAAAUGCGAAUCUGAGUCUCCUUUUAUAUGCUUAAAUCAAGGUCGGCUUUAGUUUUACAUUCAAUGAAUGUUGUUGGUAUGUGAACAAAGUUUGGCAUAAUUUUGAUUUUUGUUUCUCAUGUUGGCAACAGCCCUUACACCAAUAUAUCUGCUUUCUUUCUUGUGUGUGUGUGUGAGUGGCUGUCUGGCAAACUUUGGCUGCGUGACUCGUGAGCUUCUGAUGUGAGCUCUUUUGUGAUGUUUAUUCUUCUGCUUGAAAUUGCGAAUUUCAGCCUCCUUUUGUAUGCUUAAAUCAAUGUCGGCUUUAGUUUUACAUUCAGUGAGUGUUGUUGGUACGUGAACAAAGUUUGGCAUAAUAUGGAUCCUUGUUUCUCAUGUUGGCAAGAGCCCUUAUACCAAUAUAUUUGCUUUCUUUCUUGUGGUUGUGAGUGGCUAUCUGGCGAAAAUUGGGUGGGUAACUCGUGAGCUUCUGGUUUUUAGCUCUUUUGUGAUGUUCAAUCUUCUGCUUGAAAAAGGCGAAUCGGAGCCUCCUCUUAUAUGCUUAAAUCAAGGGUGACUUGAGUUUACUUUGGUUGGGUGACUCGUGAGCUUUUGAUUUUGAGGUCUUUUGUGAUGUUCAAUCUUCUGCUUGAGAAAGGCGAGUUUGAGCCUCCUUUUAUAUUAAAUCAUGGUCGGCUUAGUUUUACAUUCACCGAAUGUUGUUGGUUAGUGAAUAAAGUUUUGCGUAAUUUUCAUCCUUGCUGUUGUUAGUAUGUUAUCAGUGUUUGACAUAAUUUUGAUCCUUGUUUCUCAUGUUGGCAACAGCCCUUGUAUGAAUAUAUCUGCUUUCUUUCUUGUGUGUCUGAGUGGCGGUCUGGCGAACUUUGGGUGGGUGACGCGUGAGCUUCUGAUUUUGAGCUGUUUUUUGAUGUUGAAUUUUCUGCUUAAAAAAGGCGAAACUUAGCCUCUUUUUUUUGCUUAAAUCUAGGUCGGCUUCAGUUUUACAUUCGGUGAAUGUUGUUGGUAUGUGAACAAAGUUUGGCGUAAUUUUGAUCCUUGUUGUUCCUGAUAUGUGAACAAAGUUUGGCAUAAUUUUGAUCCUUGUUUCUCAUGUUGGCAACUGCCCUUAUACCAAUAUAUCUGCUUUCUUCGAUGUGUAUGUGGCAGCUGACCAUGAUUUUGUACUUUUUUGUGAUGUUCAAUAUUCUUCUUGAAAAAGGCAAAUUUGAGCCUCGUUUUAUAUGCUUAAAUAAAUGUCGUCUUUACUUUUACAUUUGGGGAAUGUUGUUCGUAUCUGAGCAAUGUUUGGCAUAAUUUUGAUCCUUGCUUCUCUUUUUGCCAACAGCCCUUAUAUGAAUAUAUCUGCUUUCUUUCUUAUGUGUGUGAGUGGCUGUCUGGCGAACUUUGGGUGGGUGACUUGUGAGCUUCUGAUUUUGAGCUUGUUUGUGAUGUUCAAUCUUCUGCUUGAAAAAUGCGAAUCUGAGUCUCCUUUUAUAUGCUUAAAUCAAGGUCCGCUUUAGUUUUACAUUCGGCGAAUGUUGUUCGUAUGUGAAUAAAGUUUGGCAUAAUUUUGAUCCUUGUUUCUCUUUUUGCCAACAGCCCUUAUAUGAAUAUAUCUGCUUUCUUUCUUAUGUGUGUGAGUGGCUGUCUGGCGAACUUUGGGUGGGUGACUUGUGAGCUUCUGAUUUUGAGCUUGUUUGUGAUGUUCAAUCUUCUGCUUGAAAAAGGCAAAUUUGAGCCUCGUUUUGUUUGCUUAAAUCAAGGUUAGAUUUAGCUUUACAUUCGGUGAAUGUUGUUGGUAUGUGAACAAAGUUUGGCGUAAUUUCGAUCCUUCUUGUUGUUGGUACAUGAGCAAAGUUUGGCAUAAUUUUGAUCCUUGUUUCUCAAGUUGGCAACUGCCCUUAUACCAAAAAAUCUGCUUUCUUUCUUGUGUGUGGCUGUCCGGCGAACUUGGCGAACUUUGGGUAGGUAACUCGUGAGUUUUUUAUUUUGAGCUCUUUUGUGAUGUUCAAUUUUCUGCUUUAAAAAGGUAAAUCUAAUCCUCCUCUUAUAUGCUUAAAUCAAGGUCGGCUUUAGUAUUACAUUCGGUGAAUGUUGUUGGUAUGCGAACAUAGUUUGGCAUAAUUUUGAUCAGUCUCUCAUGUUGGCCACAGCCCUUGUACUAAUAUAUCUGCUUUUUGUCUUGUGUGUGAGUGGCUGUCUUGCGAACUUUUGGCGGGUGACUCGGGAGCUUCUAAUUUUGAGCUCUUUUGUGAUCCAUUUUUUGCUUAAAAAAGAUGAAUCUUAGCCUCCUUUUAUAUGGUUAAAUCUAGGUUGGCUCUGAGAGGUGGAUGGUUUCGGGGUGAGAUUUUUUAUCAUUAAUUUGAGAAUUAGUUUGCCCUGUGAGGUGGAUGGUUUCGGGGUGAUGGACUAGAUUUGAUUACAGCAGAGAGAGGUCAAAAUGAAAACAGAUCUCUCUAACAGCUGGUAUGCAUAUUUUAGAUCAAAAACGUAGAAAAUGAUACCACUAAUGAUAAAAUUUUUCUUUAAAACUGUGACGAUCUAACUUAAUGCAGCAACGUGGUCAAGUAUAAUUAACUAUAGUUGUUUAGUUUAUGAACUUAAUUAGUAGUUAAUUGGCAAUGUUUGGUAGUCUUUAUGUGCUUAAUUACAUGUUACCAUAGAUAACUCUAGUUAAUUAGUUAUGUUACUAGUGAACUAAUUAACUAAGUUGUUCAGUUUAUGAACUUAAUUAGUAGUUAAUUAAAGUUAAUUGGUAAUGUAGAAUUAACUCUAGUUAAUUAGCAAUGUUUGAUGCUUUAGCUAUUAAUAUAUGAGCUUAAUUACUAGUCAACUAUAGUUAACAAUUUUAGAUAAUCUUCUUAACCGUAAUGACUUAGAUAGUCUACUUAGUUUAUGUAGUUAAUUAAUAUAGAUAACUAUAGUUAUCUAGUAAUUAACCAUAGUUGCUUAGUUUAUGAACUUAGAUACUCUUCUUGAACGUGGAGACUUAGAUUAGUACAAUUAGAAAAUCUAACUCAAUAGAGUAAGUAAGAUAUAUAAUUCUAGUUAAGAAUAGGAGUAUAUUUGCUCAUUUUUAAUUGUUACAUUUUUAAUUAUUAAUAAUUGUUAAGCUCUCAAUUUUUACACGUCAGUAAAUAUGGGUACAAAAAUCUGUUAGAUUGGCCAAAAUAGGCACACAACAAAUCUAUUGUUCAGAGCCGAGACGCAAAUUGGCUUUUUGCGUUCGCCUUCCUCACUUACGCCACAACUAUCACCGUUUCCAAACUCUGCGUUUUGUUCCGAUUUCCUUUUUUUUUUUUUUUUUUUUUUAGAUUGGCAAUAGUAUAAAAGAUUUUAUAUUGCAUGCGGUCAGUAUUGGCUAAAAUCGGAAGGAAGUAUCAAAAUUACUAAGCUUUAGGGUCCAAUUUGGAGAUAAAAAAAAAAAAAAAAUCCCGUGUAAUUGGUUGCUGUUUGGGCUCAUUUUUUAUUAAUUGAUUAUUGAUUAUCUUCUACAGGAAAAUGGAAGAUCAGAAGGUAAUUGUUUGUACGUGUUGACAAAAUUAACUAUUUUGAUAGUCAUUAGUUGUUUUGUGAAAAACUACUCAAAUUGCCAGAUACUCUCAAACGCUUUAAAAUAAGUUACAGCUAUCAAAAUAGUUAACUUCACUAAACAAAUAGCUAAAUUUUUCUGAACAAACAGCUACCAAUUUUAACGAACAACGUUAUAAAAUCUUGUUAGCUAGAAAUAUAUAAUUAUUUUUGUUUGUGCGUCCAACAUUUAAUUUUGGAAAAAUAAUAAUGCUAAUUAAAGUUUCCUUCUUUGAAAGUUCUGAAUUUUUUGCUUAUCUUUCAUAUAAUACAACAUCAUAAAAAAUAUAUAUACACAAUGUUAUGCUGGAAUUUACUUACUGCUGCUGAAGUCCCCAAACAAACAUUUGGCUUUUGUUUUUCAUGCUAAUUUAACUGUUUUAAGGAAGAUUGAGUUGUUAGUGUGUUAGACAUAUGAUGUGAAUAUAAAAAUUCUAUAUUGAUUAAACAUAAAAAUAUAGAGAACUUAUAUGCAUAUAAAUUCUUAAAUUUAAUUUUUGAUAUGUGAUUAUGAAUUCUUUUUAUAAUUUAUUGAAAAUAAAUUAUUUAUAUUGAAAAAAAAAAAUUGGAAAUAGAGCUUAUGUAAGCAGAAGUUGAAUAUAAUGUAUAUGAGCUUAUACCAAUAUAUCUGCUUUCUCCGUUGUGUGUGUGGCUGUCUAUCGAAGUUUGGGUAGGUAACUCGUGAGCUUCUGAUUUUGUACUUUUUGUGAUGUUAAAUCUUCUUCUUGAAAAAGGCAAAUCGGAGCCUCGUUUUAUAUGCUUAAAUAAAUGUCGUCUUUACUUUUACAUUUGGUGAAUGUUGUUCGUAUCUGAACAAUGUUUGGCAUAAUUUUGAUCCUUGUUUAUCAUGGUGGCAACAGCCCUUAUACCAAUAUAUCUGCUUUCUUUCUUGUUUGUGUAAGUGGUUGUCUGGAGAACUUUGGGUGGGUGACUCGUGAGCUUCUGAUUUUGAGGUUUUUUCUGAUGUUCAGUCUUCUGCUUGAUAAAGGCGAAUCUGAGCCUCCUUUUUAUAUGCUUAAAUCAUGCUUGGCUUUAGAUUUACAUUCGUUGAAUGUUGUUGGUAUGAGAACAAAGUUGGGCACAAUUUCGAUCCUUGUUUCACAUGAUGGCAACAGCCCGUGUACCAAUAUAUCUUUUUUCUUUCUUGUGUGUGUGAGUGGCUGUCUGGCGAACUUUGGUGGGUGACUCGUGAGCUUCUGAUUUUGAGCCCUUUUGUGAUGUUCAAUUUUAUGCUUGAAAAGGCAAAUCUGAGCCUGCUUUUAUAUGCUUAAAUCAAGGUUGGGUUUAGUUUACUUUGGUUGGGUGACUCCUGUGUUUCUGAUUUUGAGCUCUUCUGUGAUGUUCAAUCUUCUGCUUGAAAAAUGCGAAUCUGAGUCUCCUUUUAUAUGCUUAAAUCAAGGUCGGUUUUAGUAUUACAUUCGGUGAAUGUUGUUGGUAUGCGAACAAAGUUUGGCAUAAUUUUGAUCCUUGUUUCUCUUGUUGCCAACAGCCCUUGUAACUCGUGAGCUUUUGAUUUUGAGCUCUUUUGUGAUAUUCAAUUUUCUGCUUUAAAAAGGUGAAUCUAAUCCUCCUCUUAUAUGCUUAAAUCAAGGUCGGUUUUAGUAUUACAUUCGGUGAAUGUUGUUGGUAUGCGAACAAAGUUUGGCAUAAUUUUGAUCAGUCUCUCACGUUGGCCACAGCCCUUGUACUAAUAUAUCUGCUUUUUUUCUCAUGUGUGAGUGGCUGUCUUGCGAACUUUUGGUGGGUUACUUGUGAGCUUCUAAUUUUGAGCUCUUUUGUGAUCCAUUUUUCGCUUAAAAAAGAUGAAUCUUAGCCUCCUUUUAUAUGGUUAAAAUGAAAACUGGUAUGCAUAUUUUAGAUCAAAAACAUAGAAAAUGAUACCACUAAUGAUAAAAUUUUUCUUUAAAACUGUGACGAUCUAACUUAAUGCAACAACGUGGUCAAGUAUAAUUAACUAUAGUUGUUUAGUUUAUAAACUUAAUUAGUAGUUAAUUGGCAAUGUUAGGUAGUCUUUAUGUACGUAAUUAAAUGUUUCCAAAGGUAACUCUAGUUAAUUAGUUAUCUUACUAGUCAACUAAUUAACUAAGUUGUUUAGUUUAUGAACUUAAUUAGUAGUUAAUUAAAGUUAAUUGGUAAUGUACUAUUAACUCUAGUUAAUCAGCAAUGUUAGAUGCUUAGCUAUUAAUAUAUGAGCUUAAUUACUUGUCAGCUAUAGUUAUUAAAAUUCUUGCUAAAUUAUCAAAAUAUCUUCAACUUUAUAAGUUUUUACAAUUUUAUCAUAUAUUGAUCCAUUUUGUCAAUUUUAUUCUAAUUUUGUCAUCUUAUAUCAAUAACACCCUCAAUUAUAAUUAAGAAAGGAAUUGCAAAUAAAAAGAAUAUUUACAUACCUUUUUAAAUCAUCAUCCGAAUUUGAUAAAAAAAUCAGAUUAAAAUUUUUUACAUGACACCCUAAAAAAAUAAUCGCUGCGUCAGUAGGUGGUCGCAUUAAUUAGGCGUCCCCUUCUCCUAUAAAUAGGAGAAGUUCGCAGCUCACAAUACACACUAGCAAGAAGAAUGAACACAAAAGAGAGAAAAAUAUGUGUUUUGAGAGGGAGAGAGUUGUCUAGUUUUAGAAAGGGUCCUAAGAUAGGGAAAAAUAAUGAGGAUAAUUUUUGAGUCCUAUUAUUUUUGUAUUACUCUCUUUGUAAGCCUAAUAUUUUUAAUAGUGGAAGAAAUAUUCGGACUUGGUCCCGUGGAUGUAACCCUAAAUAGUUAAGGGUGAACCACGUAAAUUAUGUGUGUCGCAAUUUUAUUUUUCAGCUGCCGUAAUUAUUCUCGUAGUUUAUUGUCGGGACCCUAACAAAAAGAUCGUCGAUUAAUUUAGCAUUGGAGUGUUGGGUUUGAGUCUAACAAAUUUAGCAUUAUUCUUUACUAUGGUUACUAUGUCAUGAUCCACCAAAGUAAGAAAUAUAACAAAGGUAUUACACUUUCUAGUUUUGAAUUAUACUUGAUUAAAUUUUCUCUGUUUUCAAAAUUUUGAGUUUUCUCAAAUCUUGCAUGGCGAAACUUCUAUGAUGUUGUCUUGGACUGUCCUUACUGGUGCUGAAUUGUUUAGACAAGUGUCAAUUAUGUUAGGCCUUUGUUCUUUGCCUGCUCCAACAUUUAUUUGACUAUCAUGAGGCAGCAUUGACUUGUCUGGCCCUUUUUAACAGAAGCAUCCAAAUUUCAUAUUGAUAUGUAUUAAUUUUACAACUCUUGCAACCUACAGAUUUUGUUGGACAUCUGCUAUCAUGAUCUGCAAAUUACGAUAUUUAUAAGUUAAAAUCAUCUGGUUUCAAAAUAUGGCCUUAUGUUUAUGUGGCAGAACAAUUUAUGCGGGAAAUGCGCUUUGUACUGUUCGGUAUACUGGCGCCAAUCCUUGUAUGUUGACCAUUAGAUCGACCUCUUUUCAAGUACCAGCUGUCUCAGCUGAUUUAAAAUCCAAUGAAGCCCCAAUUUCCCAGAUUGAUCUCUCAACCUUUGGUGAAGGUCUGUUUACCUUUAUCUAAUAAUUUUGUUGGCUAGCACCUGCUUCGUGAUAAGGCUCAUGACCCUCUUCAUAGUUCUUGCAAAUAUUUUCCAUGCUAAUUGAUUAUUUUUGUGGGUAAAAUUACAUAUUUGUUUUAUAUGGAAGAGAAAGGAUUUGUCUUAUGGUUUUUCACAAUUCUGUUGUAGAUUCUAUUGGUAAGUCUAGGUAUCUGCAGCAUACCUCUCAGGAUACAGAGCGCCCUGACCUCGGAAGUGCAAGAAUUGUGGUGACAGGGGGCCGGGCGUUGAAAAGUGCAGAGAACUUCAAAAUGAUUGAGAAGCUUGCAGAAAAGCUCGGUGCAGCUGGUACUGCGUUUUCCAUUUGUUAAAUUAUUGGGGAUUUCGCUCGCACACUGCAGAGAAAGCGAGAGUCUGUUCGAGCUCUCAAAUCUGAACAAAUUAGCACACAACAAAUCUAUUGUUGAGAGCCGAGACGCAAAUUGGCUUUUCGCGUUCGCCAUCCUCACUCACGCCACAACUAUCUCCGUUUCCAAACUCUGCGUUUUGUUCCGAAUUUUCUUUUUUAGAUUGGCGAUAGUAUAAAAGAGUUUAUUGCAUGCGGUCAGUAUAGGCUAAAAUCGGAAGGAAGUAUCAAAAUUACUAAGCUCUAGGGUCCAAUUUGGAGAUAAAAAAAAAAGCCACGUGUAAUUGGUUGCUGUUUGGACUUAUUUUUUAUUAAUUGGUUAUUGAUUAUCUUCUACACAAAAAUGGAAGAUUAGAAGGUAAUCGAUUGUACUUUUUGAUAAAAUUAACUAUUUUAAUAGUUAUUAGUUAUUUUGUGAAAAACUAUUCAAAUUGCCAGACACUGCCAAACGCUCUAAAAUAAAUAACAGAUGUCAAAAUAGUUAAAUUUAUUGAACAAAUAGCUAAAUUUUUCUGAAGAAAUAGCUAUCAACUUUAACGAACAAUGUUAUAAAAUCUUGUUAGCAUAGAAAUAUAUAAUUAUCUUUGUUUGUGCGUCAAACAUUUAAUUAUUUUGGAAAAAUAAUAAUGCUAAUUAAAGUUUCCUUCUUUGAAAGUUCUGAAUUUUUUGCUUAUCUUUCAUAUAAUACAACAUUAUAAAAAAUAUAUAUACACAAUGUUAUGCUGGAAUUUACUUACUGCUGCUGAAGUGCCCAAACAAACAUUUGGCCUUUGUUUUUCAUACUAAUUUUACUGUUUUAAGGAAGAUUGAAUUGUUAUUGUGUUAGACAUAUGAUGUGAAUAUAAAAAUUCUAUAUUGAUUAAACAUAAAAAUAUAUAGAACUUAUAUGCAUAUAAAUUCUCAUCUUUAAUUUUUGAUAUGUGAUUAUGAAUUAUUUUUAUAAUUUAUUGGAAAUAAAUUAUUUAUAUUGAAAAAAAAAAUGGAAAUAGAGCUUAUGUAACCAGUAGUUGAAUAUAAUUUAUAUGAGUUGUCAGUGCUAAUUAAAAUUCUUACUAAAUAAUAUAUCAAAAUAUCUUAAACUUUAUAAGUUUUUACAAUUUCAUCUUAUAUUGAUCUAUUUUGUCAAUUUUAUCAUAAUUUUGUCAUUUCGUAUCAAUAACACCCUCAAUUAUAAUUAAGAAAGGAAUUGCAAAUAAAAAGAAUAUUCACAUGACUUUUUAAAUCAUCAUCCGAAUUUGAUAGAAAAAACCAGAUUAAAUUUUUUUACAUAACACCCUAAAAAAAAAUUUCACAUUAAAUUUUAAUUUUUAAAAUAAAUGUGCUAAGAUCAUUUUUUAUAAUGUAUUUUUAUGUAUAAUAAUGUAAAUGUUUCAAAUAGAUUUAUGAUAUAAAUUUUCAUUUUUAUUUGUUGGAAAAUAAUAUUUUAAUCCUAGAUUUUAAUAUCACUUUUAAAUAUUUAUCUUUAUUUAUAAUCAUGUAAAUAUUUCAUAAAUAUUUGUGAUAUAAUAAUUUCAUUUUUUCAAUGCAUACAAUUUUAAAAAUGGAGAAAAAGAAAAGAACAAUUAUAUAUAACCUGAAUGUAUAUAUAUAUAGAUUUACAGCUGAACAAAUAAGUGUUGCGCCUUUGUUUAAUUAGUCCAAUUAGAGAAGUGGACCUUUAUUAUUUGUUUGAGUCCAUUUACUUGUGCCACGUUAUACACUAACCUUGGGAACCCAAACUCCAUCUUUUGUUUUCUCAUUUUCUUAGAAACCUUUGAGCGCCGCAUCCAUGAAUAUCUGGUUCACCAUUUCCACAAUACUCUCCCUCUCUGAUCCGAACAAGAUUUGAACUUGGGAUCUACUAGAAGAAAUUGCAACUGUUAGGGUGUCCUUGGACAAUAUAUUGCAAUUCUUUGCUCUAUCUGUUUAUAUAUUUCAAAUUUUUAUUCAAGUAAAUUGUUGUACACAUCCAUGGCUCAAUUAGCCUUCUAAAGCUAUUUUCUUUUAGUUUUCCCCCUUUUUCCGGUCCACCUUCAAACAAAUGAUUUGUUUUCAUUGUAUAUGAUGCCCGGUUUCUUUUGUUUUUCCACCGAUAUAAGCUUCAACUUAAUUGGCUCUCCUUGAAAGAUGCCAUUAAAGAAAAGUUUACUGUCCUUGACAAUGUUCAGUGGUUUGAGAUUCUUGAAGGCAAGCAAGAGAAUUCUAUGCCUGCUAUUGAGUUGAUGGGGCUCAGAAGAUUGGCAAGAGAGAGGCAAGAAUGCUGUCAAUGAGCCAAUGGAAGAGGCUGCAAUUUGCAAGACUACUGGCCAUUGACCGACCAAUUUGGUUUCUGGAUGAGCCUUCUGUUGCAUUAGAUGAUGAAGGGGUAAAAUUGCUCAAAACAUUAUUCCAGUUGCAACGCAAUUGCCAACUGAGACUGCCUCUGAGGUUCCCUAGAAUGAUGACUUUAGAAGAUAUGCUUGAUCGAGUCGAGAUCUCAUAAAAUUCCAUCACUGCAGGUUAGGCUAAUUAACUUGCUCUCCCCAAGUUACCGUGUGUAUGUUUUUUUUUUUUUUUUUUAUUGUCCUAUGCUUUUAAUGUGAGUGACAGUAGGAGAAGUGAAUUUUACGCGUAUGAUUUUAUUUACCAAAUUACCUUUAAUUUAGUGCUCUCCCCAAGUUACCGUUAUGCUCCACCGCCCAACGAAGGGUAUCGCGGAAUAAAAGGAAAAUAAGAAGUUACCAUAAAAUGCAAGAUGCGUACAAAUCAAGCACUCUUGAGAAUGAGGCUUUGCUCUCAGAGAGGCGGCAAAGAAGGCGGUUGCUCUGCCUCUCUGAACGACUGCGGAGCCGAUGAUUUCUCCGUCAUUUGUGUAAUAGCCGCCGUUUGUCUGUGUGCAUUAUCAUCAUCAUUCUCUUCUUUUUCGGGCUUUCUUUCUUUCUUUGUUACAAAGAGGCUGGGGGGGUUUUUGUUUUGUUUUUUUUUUUUUUGGACAAAAAAUUUGCAAUUGCUUUUGCAUGAAAUAUGCUGUGUGAAUGGUUUAAGUACCAGGCUUUGCUCUCAGUGAGAGGCGGUUGUUUAAGGGUCGUUGACCCAGUGCUCUCUGAUAGCUAGCGGAGCCGGUGACUACUAAUUACGUUUUUUAUGUUGGCAACAACCCUUAUACCAAUAUAUCUGCUUUGUUUCUUGUGUGUGUCAGUGGCUGUCUGGCGACUGGCGAGGCUAUGAUGAUAUAUUCUUUGAGCCUGAAAAGUUGGACUCGACGUGAAAUACUCAAUUUCUUGGCAAGGCAACCUUUUGUUGUUGCAGCGCAGAUGUUGUGGUGUUUCUGUCCUGUCCAAUUUGAAGGCAUAUCUGAUCUGAGCCUUCUCUUUCUCCAGAUUUCUCUAUUUCUGAUUGGGCCUCCAUCCUCUACAGUCUCUCACUCUUCAUUUUCUUAGAUUUUUGUUCUGUUAAUUUUUUUCUAAAAUGAAAAAUUGGCAAUUGCUUUUGCAUGAAAUAUGUUUACCUUGAGAUUUCUGUGUUAAUGGUUUUAAGUACGAGGCUUUGCUCUCAGUGAGAGGCGGUGGUUUAAGGGUGGUUGCCCCAGUGCUCUCUGAUAGCUAGCGGAGCCGGUGACUACUAAUUGCGUUUUUUAUGUUGGCAACAACCCUUAUACCAAUAUAUCUGCUUUGUUUCUUGUGUGUGUGAGUGGCUGUCUGGCAGACUGUCGAGGCUUUGAUGAUAUGUUCUUUGAGCCUGAAACGUUGGACUCGAGGAGAAAUACUCAAUUUCUUGGCAAGGCAACCUUUUGUUGUUGCAGAGCCGAUGUUGUGGUGUUUUUGUCCUGUCCAAUUUGAAGGCAUAUCUGAUCUGAGCCUUCUCUUUCUCCAGAUUUCUCUAUUUCUGUUUGGGCCUCCAUCGUCUACAAUCUCUCACUCUUCAUUUUCUUCGAUUUUUGUUCUGUUAUUUUUUUUCUAAAAUGAAAAAUUGGCAAUUGCUUUUGCAUGAAAUAUGUUUACCUUNNNNNNNNNNNNNNNNNNNNNNNNNNNNNNNNNNNNNNNNNNNNNNNNNNNNNNNNNNNNNNNNNNNNNNNNNNNNNNNNNNNNNNNNNNNNNNNNNNNNNNNNNCUAAUUACGUUUUUUAUGUUGGCAACAACCCUUAUACCAAUAUAUCUGCUUUCUUUCUUGUGUGUGUCAGUGGCUGUCUGGCGACUGGCGAGGCUAUGAUGAUAUAUUCUUUGAGCCUGAAAAGUUGGACUCGAGGAGAAAUACUCAAUUUCUUGGCAAGGCAACCUUUUGUUGUUGCAAGCCGAUGUUGUGGUGUUUCUGUCCUGUCCAAUUUGAAGGCAUAUAUGAUCUGAGCCUUCUUCUUUCUCCAGAUUUCUCUAUUUCUGUUUGGGCCUCCAUCCUCUACAAUCUUUCACUGUUCAUUUUCUUCAAUUUUUGUUCUGUUAUCUUUUUUCUAAAAUGAAAAAUUGUAUGUUUACCUUAAGAUUUCUGUGUGAAUGGUUUAAGUACGAGGCUUUGCUCUCAGUGAGAGGCGGUUGUUUCAGGGGGGUGACCCAGUGCUCUCUGAUAGCUAGCGGAGCCGGUGACUACUGAUUAUGUUUCUUAUGUUGGCGAACUUUGGUUGGGUGACUCGUGACCUUCUGAUUUUUAGCUCUUUUGUGAUGUUCAAUCUUCUGCUUGAAAAAGGCAAAUCGGAGCCUCCUUUUAUAUGCUUAAAUCAAAGCUGGCUUGAGUUUACUUUGGUGGGUGACCCGUGAGCUUCCGAUUUUGAGCUCUUUUGGGAUAUUCAAUCUUCUGCUUGACAAUAGGCGAAUGUGAGCCUCGUUUUAUAUGCUUAAAUCACGGUUGGCUUUAGAUUGCUUUGGGGGGGGAACCGUGAGCUUCUGAAUUUGAGCUAUUUUGUCAUAUUCAAUCUUCUGCUUGACAAUAGGCGAAUUUGAGCCUCGUUUUAUAUGCUUAAAUCAAGGCUGGCUUUAGUUUGCGUUCGGUGGGUGACUCGUGGGCUACUGAUUUUGGGCUCCUUUUUCAUGUUCAAUCUUCUGCUUGAAAAAGGUGAAUCUGAGCCUUCUUUUAUACAUAAAUAAAGGUUGGGUUUAUUUUUACAUUCUGUGAAUGUUGUUUAUAUGUGAAAGGUCGGCUUUGGUGAAAGGCCACUUGUGAGCUUCUAAUCUUGAGCUCUUUUCCAAUGUUCAAUCUUCUGCUUGAAAGAGGUGAAUCUGAGCCUCCUUUUAUAUGCUUAAAUCAAGGUCGGGUUUAGUUUUACAUUCGGUGAAUGUUGUUGGCAUGUGAAUAAAGUUUUGCAUAAUUUUAACACUUGUUUGUCAUGGUGGCAGUAUACCAAUAUAUCUGCUUUCUCUCUUGUGUACGAGUGGCUGUCUGGCGAGGUUUUGGUGGGUGACCCGUGAGCUUCUAAUUGUGAGCUCUUUUGGGAUAUUCAAUCUUCUGCUUGAAAAAGGCGAAUGUGAGCCUCCUUUUAUAUGCUUAAAUCGAGGUUGGCUUUAGAUUGCUUUGGGGGUGAACCGUGAGCUUCUGAAUUUGAGCUAUUUUGUGAUAUUCAAUCUUCUGCUUGAAAAAGGCGAAUGUGAGCCUCCUUUUAUAUGCUGCUGCUUAAAUCAACGUUUGCCUUAGUUUGCUUUCGGUGGGUGACUCAUGAGCUACUGAUUUUGAGCUCCUUUUUCAGGUUCAAUCUUUUGCUUGAAAAAGGUGAAUCUGAGCCUCCUUAUAAU